AUUGAACGCUGGCGGCAUGCCUUACACAUGCAAGUCGAACGGCAGCAUGGAGAGCUUGCUCUCUGAUGGCGAGUGGCGAACGGGUGAGUAAAGCAUCGGAACGUACCGCGUAGUGGGGGAUAACGUAGCGAAAGUUACGCUAAUACCGCAUACGCACUGAGGUGGAAAGCGGGGGAUCGCAAGACCUCGCGCGAUUUGAGCGGCCGAUAUGAGAUUAGGUAGUUGGUGAGGUAAAGGCUCACCAAGCCGACGAUCUGUAGCUGGUCUGAGAGGACGACCAGCCACACUGGGACUGAGACACGGCCCAGACUCCUACGGGAGGCAGCAGUGGGGAAUUUUGGACAAUGGACGCAAGUCUGAUCCAGCCAUUCCGCGUGCAGGACGAAGGCCUUCGGGUUGUAAACUGCUUUUGUACAGAACGAAAAGGUCUCUAUUAAUACUAGGGGCUCAUGACGGUACUGUAAGAAUAAGCACCGGCUAACUACGUGCCAGCCGCCGCAGUAA
rnacentral:rRNA from 1 species